ensembl:lncRNA
GUUGGGCUGUGCAGUGUGGUGGGAGGAGGAGAGAAAUGCAGCUGGUGAUGUCAAAAGCUCGGUGAGAUUUCCAUUUCCUUUGCUGUUCAUUUUAGAAACAGUUGUUUGCUGACUGUUUACUCAUAGGAAGAUAUAAAUAAGACUGCCGCCCUCCCUCUCUUCUUCCGAGUCAUUCGUUCCAAUUCUCAGUUUUACUGAUUGGUUGUCAUCUCUCUCAAAAUUCUCAGGUUACUGUUUCUUCCAUGUGAGAAGCGUGGGUUUGAACCUUUGGGGAGUCACAUACCUCGGAGAAUCCUGUGAAUGGUGAUGGAGUGAAGCUUCAGAGAAAUGCCAG